rnacentral:tRNA from 1 species
GGGGAUAUAACUCAGUGGUAGAGCACUUGCCUAGCAUGUGGGAAGCUUUGGGUUUAAUCCUCAGUAUCUUCA